rnacentral:rRNA from 1 species
AACGAACGCUGGCGGCAUGCCUAACACAUGCAAGUCGAACGAGACCUUCGGGUCUAGUGGCGCACGGGUGCGUAACGCGUGGGAAUCUGCCCUUGGGUUCGGAAUAACAGUUGGAAACGACUGCUAAUACCGGAUGAUGACGUAAGUCCAAAGAUUUAUCGCCCAGGGAUGAGCCCGCGUAGGAUUAGCUAGUUGGUGGGGUAAAGGCCUACCAAGGCGACGAUCCUUAGCUGGUCUGAGAGGAUGAUCAGCCACACUGGGACUGAGACACGGCCCAGACUCCCACGGGAGGGAAGAAUGGGGGAUAUUGGGACAUGGGGCGAAGGCUGAACCCAGCAUGCCGGGUGAGUUAAUGAAGCCUUUAGGUUGGAAAGCCUCUUUACCCGGGGAUGUAAUGACAGGACCCGGAGAAUAAGCCCCGGCUAACUCCGUG